rnacentral:rRNA from 1 species
UCCUACGGGUGGCAGCAGUGGGGAAUCUUGCGCAAUGGGCGAAAGCCUGACGCAGCAACGCCGCGUGCGGGAUGAAGGCCUUCGGGUUGUAAACCGCUUUCAGUGGGGACGAACCAAGACGGUACCCACAGAAGAAGCCCCGGCCAACUACGUGCCAGCAGCCGCGGUAACACGUAGGGGGCAAGCGUUGUCCGGAUUUAUUGGGCGUAAAGAGCUCGUAGGUGGCUCAGUAAGUCGGGUGUGAAACCUCCAGGCUCAACCUGGAGACGCCACCCGAUACUGCUGUGGCUAGAGUCCAGUAGGGGAGCAUGGAAUUCCUGGUGUAGCGGUGAAAUGCGCAGAUAUCAGGAGGAACACCAGUGGCGAAGGCGGUGCUCUGGGCUGGAACUGACACUGAGGAGCGAAAGCGUGGGGAGCGAACAGGAUUAGAUACCCCUGUAGUCUUA